AGAGUGAGUUGUACUGCAAGUAAACGGCGCGUAAAAGAGAGCAUUCCGAGAGAGAAGGAGGAAUAGAGCCAUUCAAGUUGUUAGAGUGAAGACUUAACUUCCGCAGCUGGCUCAGGUUAGCGAGCUGAUCACUGAUAGUUCCGCUGAGUUGGAGCCGUGGCAAACGAAGCUCGCGAACUCGAUUAGCGUAACAGACAAUGCCGCGCCAGUCA
rnacentral:misc_RNA from 1 species